rnacentral:misc_RNA from 1 species
AACAGUGCGCAUCGUUUAGAGAAUUUCUUAGCUCUCCCGUCUUCCGUACCCAUACGUAAUAUCGUAGACGGUUACCAGGAAACGUAAUACCGUCGCUGUGGUAUGAGCUAGUGAUAUAUUUGAACGAAUAGUUCAACAAACGCUUUCGAGUCGUUCACACAGACGUGUAUUUUUUCGAUAGCUUAAAGCUAUUUGAAAAUAUCCCAUUCCGGCUGACUGGUGAAAUCGAGAAUCGCGGACAGAUUUUCCUCCUUAUUGACGUUCGGUGGAAAAUAUCUUUGACCUGCGAAAUAAAUCAAGAUGGAAGUGCAGGUGGAGGGUGUACUUCUGGAAAAAUCGAUCGAGAAAAGCCUUGCCGGUGCUUCUCCGGUCGUCCAUUAUACCUGUAUCGUCGUAAUCGAUGGACGGAUUUCAACGUUGGAGAGCAAAUAAUACGGAGAUCGGCACUCGAAUAGCGUCGCUUUUAU